AUUCCAGGAGGUGGCCUUUUCGCAUGGGAGCGGCAUGGCAAAUGCCUGGCGGCCGGAAUAGGAGCUCGGGUCUGGGAAACUCCAGCGACUGAGUGUGUGCCUGGGCAGGGAGAGGAAGGGAAGCUGGGACAUAUGCGACAGCAGGGAGGGGUGCUUGUCUAGGACAAGAGGCUUGUAGCCAUGGUGGGGCCAAGGAAGGGUGCAGCGGGGAGAGGCGAGCAUGAGACUGAGGGAUCAGGUGUGACAGUUCAGCGCCCCCUCCCUGGGGCAGUGCGUCUCUCUACUCUCCCCCACUGGGCACCAGAUAACGAAGGGGCUGCCACGGCAGCCCAUGAAAAAGCCUCCACAGCAGGCAGAACUUCCCUGCCUGUUCAGACCAGGAAAUACCAGAGUGAGUGAGUGUCACGACAAGGUGUGUCAGGGGCCUAAGGAGCCAGGCCUGGGAGAGCACAGGGAAGGCCCCAGUGACCCUGCCCGGGAGGGACCUAGCAUGGACAGAGGCCAGGAAUGCAGAGGAGAGACCAGGUCUGGCUACUGGUUAGAGCGCCACAGGGGCAGCCGCUGACUCACCUGGGCACGCCGUGACUGGCCAGUUCUGUCCUCACCCUGCCCCACCCCACCCCACCCCGUGGUGAGCAUCUGGGCUGCCUGAGGACAGCUGUGAGGCAGGGCCCGCCAGGAUCUUGCUCUGUGCCUCAGCUAGGAGGCCCUGAGUCCGGCACCUGGCCAUGUGCAACCCUGAGGAGGCAGCUCUGCUGCGGCUGGAGGAGGUCUUCUCAGCCACCCUCGCCCGUGUCAACAGCCUUGUCCUCCAGCCCCUGCUCCCAGCCGCCCCAGAGCCCUCGGAUCCCUGGGGCAGAGAGUGCCUGCGGCUCUUGCAACAGCUGCACAAGAGCUCCCAGCAACUCUGGGAGGUGACGGAGGAAAGCCUGCACUCACUGCAGGAGAGGCUGCGUUACCCGGACUCCACCGGUCUGGAGUCCCUGCUGCUGCUGCGAGGUGCUGACCGUGUACUGCAGGCCCACAUAGAGUACAUUGAGUCCUACACAAGCUGCAUGGUGGUGCAGGCCUUCCAGAAGGCAGCAAAGAGGAGAAGCGAGUACUGGCGGGGCCAGCGGAAGGCGCUGCGGCAGCUGCUUUCAGGUGUGAGCUCAGAGGGCUCAGUGGGCGCAUUGCUGGGCCAGGCCCUCCACCAGCCACUCGCCCAUCACGUGCAACAGUACGUGCUCCUCCUGCUGAGCCUCGGGGACACCAUUGGGGAGCAUCACCCAACCCGGGAGCUGGUGGUGAAUGCAGUCACCCUCUUUGGGAACCUGCAGUCCUUCAUGAAGCAGGAGUUGGACCAGGCUGUGGCCACACAGGCUCUCUGGCACACCCUGAGAGGCCGGCUGAGGGAUGUGCUCUGCACCCCUGCUCACAGACUCCUUCAGGACAGCCAGGACGUACCCGUGACGGUCGCACCGUUGCGGGCUGAGCGUGUGCUGCUCUUUGAUGAUGCCCUCGUCCUGCUGCAGGGCCACAACGUCCACACCUUUGAUCUGAAGCUGGUGUGGGUGGAUCCUGGGCAGGACGGGUGCACGUUUCACCUCCUCACGCCCGAAGAAGAGUUCUCCUUUUGUGCCAAGGACUCCCAGGGCCAGGCAGUCUGGCAGUGGAAGGUGACCUGGGCUGUUCACCAGGCCCUACGUGGGAAGAAGGACUUCCCCGUGCUGGGGGCUGGCCUGGAGCCCUCCCAGCCUCCCGCCUGCCGCUGUGCAGAAUAUACCUUCCAGGCAGAGGGCCGGCUCUGCCAGGCCACCUACGAGGGCGAGUGGUGCAGGGGCCGGCCCCACGGCAAGGGAACCCUGAAAUGGCCGGAUGGGCGGAAUCACGUGGGGAAUUUCUGCCAGGGCCUGGAGCAUGGCUUCGGCAUCCGCCUGCUGCCCCAGGCCUCUGAGGACAAGUUCGACUGUUACAAGUGUCACUGGCGAGAAGGCAGCAUGUGUGGCUACGGCAUCUGUGAGUACAGCACCGACGAGGUGUACAAGGGCUACUUCCAGGAGGGCCUGCGGCACGGAUUUGGGGUCCUUGAGAGUGGUCCGCAGGCCCCCCAGCCCUUCAGGUACACAGGCCACUGGGAGAGGGGCCAGAGGAGCGGCUAUGGCAUUGAGGAGGAUGGUGACAGAGGUGAGCGCUACAUUGGCAUGUGGCAGGCUGGUCAGCGCCACGGCCCAGGGGUCAUGGUCACCCAGGCAGGUGUCUGCUACCAGGGCACCUUCCAGGCAGACAAGACGGUGGGCCCAGGCAUCCUCCUCUCUGAAGACGACUCCCUGUAUGAGGGCACCUUCACCAGGGACCUGACCCUCAUGGGGAAGGGCAAGGUCACCUUCCCCAAUGGCUUCACCCUGGAGGGCUCGUUCGGCAGUGGGGCAGGGAGAGGACUGCACACACAGGGUGUGCUGGACACGGCUGCCCUCCCACCAGACCCGAGCAGUACCUGCAAGAGGCAGCUGGGUGUGGGUGCCUUCCCCGUGGAAAGCCGCUGGCAGGGAGUCUACAGCCCCUUCCGGGACUUUGUGUGUGCUGGCUGCCCCAGGGACCUGCAGGAGGCCCUGCUGGGCUUCGACGUGCAGAGCUCCAGGGAGCUGCGUAGGUCUCAGGAUUACCUGUGCUGCGAGAGGACCCACCCUGAGGACAGUGUGGGCAGUAUGGAAGACAUCCUGGAGGAGCUGCUGCAGCACCGGGAGCCCAAGGCCCUGCAGCUGUACCUCAGGAAGGCUCUGAGCAACUCACUGCACCCCCUGGGAAAGCUGCUCCGGACACUGAUGCUGACCUUCCAGGCUACCUAUGCAGGUGUCGGGGCCAACAAGCACCUGCAGGAGCUGGCCCAGGAGGAGGUGAAGCAGCAUGCCCAGGAACUCUGGGCUGCCUACAGGGGUCUGCUGCGAGUUGCCUUAGAGCGCAAGGGCCAGGCCGUGGAGGAGGAUGAAGACACAGAGACAAGGGACCUCCAGGUGCAUGGAUUGGUGCUGCCCCUCAUGCUGCCCAGCUUCUACUCAGAGCUCUUCACGCUCUACCUGCUGCUUCAUGAGCGGGAGGACAGCUUCUACAGCCAGGGCAUUGCCAACUUGAGCCUCUUUCCUGAUACCCAACUGCUCGAGUUCCUGGAUGUGCAGAAGCACUUGUGGCCCCUCAAGGACCUCACGCUGACGAGCAAUCAGAGGUACUCCCUGGUCAGGGACAAGUGUUUCCUGUCAGCCACCGAGUGCCUGCAGAAGAUCAUGACCACGGUGGACCCACGGGAGAAGCUGGAGGUGCUGGAGAGGACAUACGGGGAAAUUGAGGGCACGGUGUCGAGGGUGCUGGGCCGGGAGUACAAGCUGCCCAUGGACGACCUGCUGCCACUUCUCAUCUACGUGGUGUCGCGCGCCCGAUGGGGAAGCCAAGGCCCAGAAAAGGGAGGGUCCCAGCCAGGGUGCUGGGGUGCUAGAGGUAGAGUGAGGACCACACCCCAGGUGUCCAGCCAUCCAGGCCAGCGCUCCUUCCCCAGCUGCCUGUCCGCGACAGCCCUCUUCUCCUUGUCUCCCUCGCUCUCUUGGUGGGGCGGUGUUCUCCAGAAUUCAGCACCUGGGAGCCGAGAUCCACCUGAUCCGUGACAUGAUGGACCCCAACCACACAGGAGGCCUGUAUGACUUCCUGCUCACAGCCCUGGAGUCCUGUUACGAGCACAUCCAGAAAGAAGACAUGAGGCUGCACCGCUUACCUGGCCACUGGCACUCCAGGGAGCUCUGGUAGCCUGGCCUUUCCUGGACAGACUGCAGAGCUGAGCAGGGCACUGCCAGCCUGUCCCUCAUUACCCAAGGCAAGGGGCAGGAGAGGCCCUCGGAAGCAGCUCUUGGAGGAGAUGAGCAUUUUGUUUUGCACAGGAAGAUGCUGCUGCUGCCCUGACUGGGAUGAGGGUGAGGGGUGACGGGUGUGGCCCUGGAUGUGGUGGUUUUCCCUUGGCCACUAGCCCAUCUUCAAUGACCCCUUAAUCUGCAGCAGCUCACAGGCUGGGGGUGAGGAGUCCCUGGCUUCUCUUAGCCUGAGCCUUUCUCCCAAGUUCCAGAGCCUCUCCGGGCCUCAGUGCUGCCAUCUGUACAAUGGUGGAGUGAGUACGCUGUAAAGGACCUUCCAUUCAUUUUGCUGAAUUCCAGAGUCCUUUUGGAAAACUGACUUUAGUCUGCUGGGCUGUACUGACCUCUGGCAGGCUCGAAGCCUCACUGGGUAUGCAGUCAACAGGAUGGGCCUGGAGAUCCGUGAACUGCAGGCCACGUACCCAUGACGUAAACGGCGGCACUGGAGCAAGCUGGGGCGGGGGUGGGUAAACCCUCACUGCCAGCAGGCCCCAAGUGGCUUGUAAAUCAUUCUCCUGUGACGUCUGUGGGCCUGCGUGGGGACAACAGGGGCACAUGACAUCUGCCUGGGCCCUGACCAAUAAACCCUCAGACCCAGGACCCAGGACCCUGCUGUAGUUGGGGAGCAGGAGUACCAUUGGGAGGGGAGGACUUUAUUUAAACAGUGGUUCUAGUGUGGGACCAAGAGAGGCAGGAGCUGGGUCUUGGGGCAGCUUUAUUCCUGUUGGGCCUCAGUUUCUCUUCCCCACACAGUUUAUCUUCCGUCACAUUGUACCGGGUGACGUGCACGGUCUCCCUCUGCCCUAGCAGGAGAUGCAUGAUGACAGGCAGUGUGAUGUGUUCUGAAAGUGUCCAGGGCAAAGCGUAGGGAGAGGGUGGAUUUGUGCAGGGUGCAGCUCUGGAGAAGAAGCUGGAUCACUCUUGGUCCCAUUCCCUAGGCCCUGAGCAAGUCAGGCUCCUGGCUCUGGGUGUGGCUCCCCCAAACGAAGUACUGACUUCAGCCUGUGAGGGGAGGGUUGAGGGAGGCUCUGGAAAGCCCAGCCACACCUGAGUCCCUGGCAGUAGCCUUGGGGCAGAGGGCACCCGCAGAGUCCCAGAGAUGAUGUGGGCAGUGGGCAGAGAGAGCCUUGGUGCCUCUGUUUGCCACCACUUCCCCAGGAAGGAGGGACAGCAUUUCUCUGGCUGGUUCCACUAAAUGUGCCAGCCCAAAUGCAGGGCAUGGGCUCUGGUUCUGCCAGGAGCCUGUGACACCCCCAGGAAGGGGGUAGAACUGAGGAAGAGCGAGGAUAUGCAGGGUGCACAGGCACUCAUGCUUACCGGGACUGGGGCAGCUCACUAGGAUUCUAUCCUUUCCAAUCGGCAUCAGCCAGCUCUUGUCCCCUGAUAAGUGAGGACAGCCUGACCCUGGCCUCAAAUGCAGCCAUCCCUGAGUUCAUGCGAUGCUGACGGGACCCCAGCACACUUCCCUGCCUCCUUUGAGAUCUGCAAGCCCUUGCUGCAGUUCAGAUUCAACAAGGCCCUCUGCCCACCCUCUCACUAGGCCUCACCCAACACCAGUGGAACUGGAGCCUCUGGCUGGGCACAGUGGCUCACUUUGGGAGGCUGAGGCAGGAAGGCUGCUGGAAACUGAGAGUUCAAGACCAGCUUGGGCAACAUAGUGAGACCCUGUCUCUACAAAUAUAAAAUAAAAUAAUUAGCUGGG